rnacentral:rRNA from 1 species
CCUACGGGUGGCAGCAGUGAGGAAUAUUGGUCAAUGGGCGCGAGCCUGAACCAGCCAAGUAGCGUGAAGGAUGACUGCCCUACGGGUUGUAAACUUCUUUUAUAAAGGAAUGAAGUGAGGCACGUGUGCCUUUUUGUAUGUACUUUCUGAAUAAGGAUCGGCUAACUCGGUACCAGUAGCCGCGGUAAUACGGAGGAGCCGAGCGUUAUCCGGAUUUCGUGGGGUUAAAGGGAGCGUAGAUGGGUUGUUAAGUCAGUUGUGAAAGUUUGCGGCUCAACCGUAAAAUUGCAAUUGAUACUGGCAGUCUUGAGUACAGUUGAGGUGGGCGGAAUUCGUGGUGUAGCGGUGAAAUGCUUAGAUAUCACGAAGAACUCCGAUUGCGAAGGCAGCUUACUAAACUGCCACUGACAUUGAUGCUCGAAAGUGUGGGUAUCAAACAGGAUUAGAUACCCUUGUAGUC